GGAUCCAGACUUUGAUCAUGGCUCAGGACGAACGCUGGCGGCACGCCUAACACAUGCAAGUCGAACGAGAGAGGAAGAGCUUGCUCUUCUGAUCGAGUGGCGAACGGGUGAGUAACGCGUGAGGAACCUGCCUCAAAGAGGGGGACAACAGUUGGAAACGACUGCUAAUACCGCAUAAGCCCACGGCUCGGCAUCGAGCAGAGGGAAAAGGAGCAAUCCGCUUUGAGAUGGCCUCGCGUCCGAUUAGCUAGUUGGUGAGGUAAUGGCCCACCAAGGCGACGAUCGGUAGCCGGACUGAGAGGUUGAACGGCCACAUUGGGACUGAGACACGGCCCAGACUCCUACGGGAGGCAGCAGUGGGGAAUAUUGCACUAUGGGGGAAACCCUGAUGCAGCGACGCCGCGUGGAGGAAGAAGGUCUUCGGAUUGUAAACUCCUGUUGUUGAGGAAGAUAAUGACGGUACUCAACAAGGAAGUGACGGCUAACUACGUGCCAGCAGCCGCGGUAAAACGUAGGUCACAAGCGUUGUCCGGAAUUACUGGGUGUAAAGGGAGCGCAGGCGGGCGAUCAAGUUGGAAGUGAAAUCCAUGGGCUCAACCCAUGAACUGCUUUCAAGACUGAUUGUCUUGAGUAGUGCAGAGGUAGGCGGAAUUCCCGGUGUAGCGGUGGAAUGCGUAGAUAUCGGGAGGAACACCAGUGGCGAAGGCGGCCUACUGGGCACCAACUGACGCUGAGGCUCGAAAGUGUGGGUAGCAAACAGGAUUAGAUACCCUGGUAGUCCACACCGUAAACGAUGAUUACUAGGUGUUGGAGGAUUGACCCCUUCAGUGCCGCAGUUAACACAAUAAGUAAUCCACCUGGGGAGUACGACCGCAAGGUUGCAACUCAAAGGAAUUGAC
rnacentral:rRNA from 1 species